rnacentral:rRNA from 1 species
GACGAACGCUGGCGGCGUGCCUAAUACAUGCAAGUCGAACGAACUCUGGUAUUGAUUGGUGCUUGCAUCAUGAUUUACAUUUGAGUGAGUGGCGAACUGGUGAGUAACACGUGGGAAACCUGCCCAGAAGCGGGGGAUAACACCUGGAAACAGAUGCUAAUACCGCAUAACAACUUGGACCGCAUGGUCCGAGCUUGAAAGAUGGCUUCGGCUAUCACUUUUGGAUGGUCCCGCGGCGUAUUAGCUAGAUGGUGGGGUAACGGCUCACAUGGCAAUGAGACGUAGCCGACCUGAGAGGGUAAUCGGCCGCAUUGGGACUGAGACACGGCCCAAACUCCUACGGGAGGCAGCAGUAGGGAAUCUUCCACAAUGGACGAAAGUCUGAUGGAGCAACGCCGCGUGAGUGAAGAAGGGUUUCGGCUCGUAAAACUCUGUUGUUAAAAAAGAACAUAUCUGAGAGUAACUGUUCAGGUAUUGACGGUAUUUACCCAGAAAGCCACGGCUAACUACGUGCCAGCCGCCGCCGUAA